rnacentral:piRNA from 1 species
UUGAAAAGUUGGACUAUCAUA